UGUUUGAUGCACACAUCAGAAGGGA
rnacentral:piRNA from 1 species